rnacentral:rRNA from 1 species
AGGGGCUCCGCAUGGAGAUUAUUUGUUAAAGAUUUAUCGGUAGUAGAUGGGCAUGCGUUCCAUUAGUUAGUUGGCGAGGUAACGGCUCACCAAGACAACGAUGGAUAGGGGAACUGAGAGGUUUAUCCCCCACACUGGAACUGAGACACGGUCCAGACUCCUACGGGAGGCAGCAGUGAGGAAUAUUGGUCAAUGGAGGCAACUCUGAACCAGCCAAGUCGCGUGAAGGAUGACGGCCCUACGGGUUGUAAACUUCUUUUUUAAGGGAAUAAAGUGAGCCACGUGUGGCUUUUUGCAUGUACCUUACGAAUAAGGAUCGGCUAACUCCGUG